CGUCGUUGCUGCGCCACUUCGGCGGCAUUCCACCCUUAAAGCCUACGCUCGUUCCGAAACGAAACCUAGGCCUUGUUGAGACCGCAAAUCGAGCCACCCGGCCACGAAGAAAAUCCGGUGAAGAAACAAGCGGGAUUAGGGACUGUUGAGGCGAGGGACACAAGCAGAGACAUGGACAAUGUGCAAAUGAUCGGCACUAAAAUCACAGCGAUCAAGGAAUACUUAUAUAAUUUCGCACGAACGCAUUCACCCACGAGACUAAUGAGUUCCGAAAACACCUAUUCGCUCUCCAAGGAGCAUUGCAACUUGAAGUAUUCGGGUAAGUGCUUAUGAGGAUUUUUAGUUAAUCAGUUUUUAUUUGAAUAUUGCAUGUAUUCGAGAGAAUUUAAUACAAAGAUAAAUAUUUUGUUUUUUUGACAUAAUUGAUGAUUAUGUGCUGCAUGAACGCUGCUUUGAUUAUUCAUAAUUCCGUGUAACUUAUAUAACGAUAUUAUCAGCAUCAUCCAGUUGUGAUAUAUAAAAUUCAAGAAGAACAAAUUAUAUUAUAAGUAUAUUUUACAUUACGUGAGCGUUGACUUAGCUUUUCGAGGGCAAAAUCCAAGCGUCACAAUAUUGUCCUGAUUUCGCGAGGCUUGUGGGUCGGAAGGGUGCAUAAUAAUAGAGGAUUUAGAAUUAUUCCAAAGAGGUUGGUAGACUCCGAGUGGUUGAGGACAGAUUACACGCCGCAGGGAUGCGGAAGGGUUUGUCAUCUUCGCCGUUUGGGAAGUGUUAGCGGGCGAUAACGACAUGCGCGUGCCGCUCGUAGAAUUUUAGAUAUUUUAAUGGAUCUUUAUCUCGAAUGAUUUUUAUUACGAUUUUUGCAAACGAUAUAUAAGCAUUUACAAAAAUUUCGUUAGACAACGCAUCGUAACGCGAAAUCUGCAGUAUUACUAUAAAUUAAGGUCGUAAUCCGGUUUAUAAAUCGGCGUGACUAAUUGCCGCGUGUAACAAUCCCCAGAAGACGCGUUGAUUAAAGUCGAGAUGCGAGGGUCUAGACACAUCUGGUGCCGAAUGACUAUACGCACGAUAGAUAUAUUGAGUCCGAACUAAGCAAUAUACUUGGCAAAAUCUGCGAGAUAACUGUGUUUCAUAAAAAUUAGAAUUAGGAUACAUAUACGUAAACUAAUAUCGCUUUUGUAUUUAACUGUUUAUCUAAAUAGAAAUAUUAUUAUACACGAGGAUUAUUAAAGUAUUAAUAGCCUAUUGUUUUUAACAGAAAUAAUUAAAAGAUGAAGCAGAUAACAAUUAAACGAUAAUUAUUUUAACGUAAUUAAAUCUUGCGAUAGCUCGAAACUUGUUUGUAUCUCGAAAAGUAUUAUAAACCUCGGGAAGAAGGCGAAGGUCUUUGGACAUUAGAUUGAUGGAGCUGGAUUAGCUGGAUCUGACUGUUGGAAACCGGGGAUUUCCCUUGUCUAACCAUAGGCUCAAGGCGAUUCACUA